AUUACAACGUCUAUCUAGUUAGGUCAAUUGUUGACGGAGAUAAAUUAUUGUUAAACUUGUCUUGAAUUACUCUUACAUCUCUCUUUGCUGUCAGUUCGUUUAAAUAAGUUGUAGGAUGUACUAUAACAUUUAGUUAGUUGGAAGAUAUUUUAAAACAUGUUUUAGUAGAAUGUUACAUAUAACAGCUUUGAUUUUUUUCAGUUGAUUCUGGAAUAAUUCAAUAUGGGUAUGUGCAAAAGCAAGACGAAAGAAUUGUGCUUAAUUUUACUAAGAAUGGAACGAUUUUGAACAAGAUUCUCUGCACUAAAAAACCUAGUCCCAAAGAAGUUAAAGAAACACCAGAAUUUAGUAUGUUUAUGUAUACAGUUGUUAGUGCAGCCGCUGUUUUGGUGACUGUCAUGGUUGCGAUUUUCAUAGCGUUGAUUUGUCGAAG